rnacentral:rRNA from 1 species
CUGCUGCCUCCCGUAGGAGUCUGGACCGUGUCUCAGCUCCAGUGGUGGGGGGCCUUCCUCUCAGAACCCCUACGCAUCGUCGCCACGGUGGGCCGUUACCCCGCCGUCAAGCUAAUGCGCCGCAUGCCCAGCCGCCACCGGAUUCCUCCUUUCGCCCGGUCCGGAUGCCCGGUCCGGGCGGCAUGGGGUAUUAGGCCGGGUUUCCCCGGGUUAUCCCCCUGUGGCGGGCAGGUUCCAUACGUGUUACUCACCCGUGCGCCGGUCGCCGGCAGGUGCAGG